rnacentral:rRNA from 1 species
AUGAACGCUAGCGGCAGGCUUAAUACAUGCAAGUUGAGGGCGGCAUGAUAUACGCGAGUAUAUUGAUGGCGACCGGCGGACGGGUGAGUAAUAGGUAGGAGACCUACCUCAUACAGGGGGAUAGCAUAGAGAAAUCUGUGGUAAUACCCCAUGAGGUUAUAUGAAUAGAGGCAUAUAAUCAAAGCAUAAGCGAUUAUGCGGUAUGAGAGGGGCCUACUGACCAUUAGCUAGUUGGUGAGGUAAGGGCUCACCAAGGCGAAGAUGGUAGGGGUUUUGAGAGAGAGACCCCCCACAUUGGAACUGAGAGACGGUCCAGACUCCUACGGGAGGCAGCAGUAGGGAAUAUUGGGCAAUGGGCGAAAGCCUGACCCAGCCAUGCCGCGUGAAGGAAGACGGCCUUAUGGGUUGUAAACUUCUUUACUACGCGAAUAGAGGUUAGUACGAGAUACUAAUAGGAAGGUAGUGUAGUAAAAAGCACCGGCUAACUCCGUG